rnacentral:sRNA from 1 species
AUCCUGAAUGAUUAAAGCAGCAUAAUCCCGCAAUUUGAGUUGAGCGCAGCGAAACAACGGAGCCGCUCGCGGCGACGGCCCGAAGGGCGAGCGAAGCGAGUCAUCCUGCACGACCCACCA